GCCUGGGUGGCUCAGCGGUUGAGCGUCUGCCUUUGGCUCAGGGUGUGAUCCUGGAGUGCCAGGAUCGAGUCCGGCACCAGGCU
rnacentral:tRNA from 1 species